GAAAAAAUCAUGGAUAGUAAUAGUUUUUCUCUCCUCCUUUGCUUUCUCCUUCGACCAACAUGCUCUAUUAACGGCAAUUUGAUUUUUUCCCCGGCGUCCGGUCGCGAGUGCCGGCACCAAAGGCUCUCCGGCUCUUGUUUCAUUGUUCUCGUUUUUCUGCCACUGCGUCCAUCUCGUUCCCCUCCGAUAUCCUCAAGGUUUGGGCUAGGGUUUGGUCACCAAGAGCCUUCCGCUGCAGAGGAGAUGCGACUACGGCGGUUUAUCUGCUUUCUAUGGUGCUUUAAUGAGCAGGUAGAACAGUGGAUGGUGGUUUCAGUCAGCUUUUUGGGUUCAGGAUGUAGAUCUUUUUCCCGUCAGAUCUCGUCCAGUUUCUCUCGGUUCGUGAAGAGGAGGGACGGUUUGAUUCUGUUCUAGGGAGUCAGUCGGCUCGGGUUGGUUUCUAUCGGUUCUUUUCGGGGUGUCGACAAGCGCCAGUCCCUCCUUUCCUUAGUCACAGUGUGAGCCGGUGGAUCUCAUUACCACGGUGGCGAGUCUUGUAGCUCGAGUUCGCAGGUGGCUUGGUCUUCGAUCUCUAUUCCAGCUCGUGUAGGUCUUGUGUGUGGUUAAGAUGGCGGUCGUCUAUGCCUCCUCAGUGGCCGCUUGCAACUCUUCGCUUCAAAUCUUCUUUCUGUGAUUCCUGGCUUUUUUGGUUCUCUAAAGGCGACAGCCUUCGGUUAGGAUUGUGCCCUGGUUCUUCAUACUGUCUUUACACGAGACGGGUUCUAGAAGCUCGGGUUUUUGUUUGUCGGUUUUCGACGACUUCAGGCUUUGUAGCCGGCACGCCGCUUGGUCAUCGCUCACAUCCCAGCAUCACUUAAGUUCGCUUGAGCUUAGUGUUGGUGUGUGUGACAAACUUUGUGCAGGUUCGGGGUUUCAGGCCAAGGAGUACGGAGGUUACGGCUCGUUUUUGGCUCGGCGUGACUUGGGUACAUGUUCUGUCCGCGUCUAAUAAAUGUUCGGUUUAGUUGAUGCUGGUGUACUUGGCCCUUGCCGUUAUUGUGGUGGGUACUAAGACCACCUCCAUUGGUGGGUUUAGCAAGGGUUCUUAAAAAAAUUCUAAAAAAAGUAAAUCAAAAAUGAAUAAAAAGCAGAGAACCGGUUAUAAGCAGAGACCUUUUAGAAUUGUUAAAAACUCCUACGUGGUGUUUUCGUAUUGGCUACUCAUAAAAGACAAAAGGCCCGGCUCUCUCUUCAUCCACCUCCAAAUACUUCGAUGAAAUCAUCGUUGCCGAAAAAGUAUCCUUGAAGUUGCCCAAUUUAAUCUUCCUUAUAAAUUGAUCAAACCCAACAACUCUACUUUCGUUCCCAGAAAUCUGCAAAAAAAAAAUGGAAAAAGCAAUCGAGAGACAAUGAGUUCUUCUUGAACAUCUCCGUCCUUCUUCCUCACACAGUUUCGAAGGCUCUCUCUCUGCUUCUGCUUGCUUGGCUUGGGACAGUGCUGCGUACCAGAGGACCUCUCUCUAUGGAGAUGAUGUUGUCAUUGUCGCGGCACAUAGGACUGCACUUUGCAAGUCCAAACGUGGCAACUUCAAGGAUACUUUUCCUGAUGAUCACUUUGCAAGUCCAAACGUGGCACCGUCAUCAGACCAAGAGAGUGAAAGACAUUUUUUGUCCACAUGUUGGAGAUCGACGAUGGGAUUUUGUAGCGAAAGUGUCAGGUUUGAAGGUGGAGGGAGAAACAUAAGACUAGGUUUGAAUAGAACAGGGAAGAGUUGCAGGUUAAGGUGGGUUAACUACUUACAUCCUGGUCUCAAACGUGGUAAGAUGACGAACCGAUAAUGAGAUAAAGAAGUACUGGAGGACUCAUAUGAGGAAGAAGACACAGGAAAAGAAGAAGAGACCUAUGUCUCCAGCUUCCUCGUCUUCAGACUGCUGCUCAUCAUCUAUGACCACUGCAGCUACUCAAAAACUAGUGUAUUGUGUGUCUCAAAAGUUUCCCAAAAUAUUGUGUUUCACUUGCCACAAAUCAUUUCACCAAAAUAUUGUGUCUCUUACAAUUGCAACAAACCAUUUCACCAAAAAAAAAAUUUAAGAAUCUCAAUGAGGUUCUCCCA